rnacentral:rRNA from 1 species
GAUUAACGCUAGCGGCAGGCAUAAUACAUGCAAGUUGAACGGCAGCACAGGUAGCAAUACUGGGUGGCGAGUGGCGCACGGGUGCGUAACACGUAUGCAACCUACCCUAUACAGGCGAAUAACCUUUAGAAAUGAGGGCUAAUACGCCGUAGUAUUACAGAUGGGCAUCUAUUUGUAAUUAAAGAUUUAUCGGUAUAGGAUGUGCAUGCGUCCCAUUAGUUAGUUGGUAAGGUAACGGCUUACCAAGACGAUGAUGGGUAGGGGAUCUGAGAGGACUUACCCCCACACUGGUACUGAGACACGGACCAGACUCCUACGGGAGGAAGCAGUAAGGAAUAUUGGGCAAUGGCCGCGAGGCUGACCCAGCCAUGCCGCGUGCAGGAAGACGGCCUUAUGGGUUGUAAACUGCUUUUAUACGGGAAUAAUAGAGUGUACGCGUACAUUUAUGCAAGUAUCGUAUGAAUAAGCAUCGGCUAACUCCGUG